rnacentral:rRNA from 1 species
AAGCCAUGCAUGUCUCAGUAUAAGUCUUUACACGGCGAAACUGCGAAUGGCUCAUUAAAACAGUUAUAGUUUAUUUGGUGUUCACCGGUUAUAUGGAUAACUGCGGAAAAACUGGAGCUAAUACAUGCGUUAAAGCCCGACUUCACGGAAGGGCUGUAUUUAUUAGAUACAGAACCAAUACCUUCGGGUUUUUGGAUGAUUCAUAAUAAAUGUACGGAGCGCGUCAGCUUGUGCUGGCGCUGUACCAUUCAAGUUUCUGACCUAUCAGCUUCCGACGGUAGGGUAUUGGCCUACCGUGGCAUUGACGGGUAACGGAGAAAUAGGGUUCGAUUCCGGAGAGGGGGCCCGAGAAAUGGCCACCACAUCUACGGAAGGCAGCAGGCGCGCAAAUUACCCAAUCCUGACACAGGGAGGUAGUGACAAGAAGUAACAAAGCGGGUGGCCAAGCCAUUUUGCUAUUGGAAUGAGUAGAAUUUAAAUCUCUUUUCGACUAUCAAUUGGGAGGGCAAGUCUGGUGCCAGCAGCCGCGGUAAUUCCAGCUCCAAUAGCGUAUAUUAAAGUUGUUGCGGUUAAAAAGCUCGUAGUUGGAUUUCUGUCGAAGACUUCUGGUCCAUACCAUGUAUGUGUAUCUAGAAAUGCUUUGGCAUCUUCUCGGUGCCCGUCGCCGCCUUAAUUGUGUGGUACGGUGCCCGAGACUUUUACUUUGAGGAAAUUAGAGUGUUCACGGCAGGCAAUCGUCAUGAAUAUAUUAGCAUGGAAUAAUCAUAUAGGACCUAAGGUUCUUUUUGUUGGUUUCAGAAUUUUAGUAAUGAUUAAUAGGGACNAUUGGGGGCAUUCGUAUUGUCACGUCACGAGUGAAAUUCUUAGAUUGUGAUACGCACGAACUAAUGCAAAGC